rnacentral:rRNA from 1 species
UACGAAGGGGGGCUAGCGUUGCUCGGAAUCACUGGGCGUAAAGCGCACGUAGGCGGCUUUUUAAGUCAGGGGGUGAAAUCCUGGAGCUCAACUCCAGAACUGCCUUUGAUACUGAAGAUCUUGAGUUCGGGAGAGGUGAGUGGAACUGCGAGUGUAGAGGUGAAAUUCGUAGAUAUUCGCAAGAACACCAGUGGCGAAGGCGGCUCACUGGCCCGAUACUGACGCUGAGGCACGAAAGCGUGGGGAGCAAACAGG